UACGUAGGUGACCAGCGUUGUCCGGAUUUACUGGGCGUAAAGAGCGCGCAGGCGGUCGUUCAAGUCGAGUGUGAAAGCCCCCGGCUCAACUGGGGAGGGUCAUUCGAUACUGAUCGACUCGAAGGCAGGAGAGGGAAGCGGAAUUCCCGGUGUAGUGGUGAAAUUCGUAGAUAUCGAGAGGAACACCGGUGGCGAAGGCGGCGAUCUGGACGAUGACUGACGCUGAGACGCGAAAGCGUGGGGAGCAAACAGG
rnacentral:rRNA from 1 species